rnacentral:rRNA from 1 species
UGCCUGCCCAGUGACGUAGAGUUAAACGGCCGCGGUAUCUUGACCGUGCAAAGGUAGCAUAAUCAUUUGCCUUUUAAAUGGAGGCUGGAAUGAAUGGCAAGACGGGGGUUUAACUGUCUCUUUUCUAAUUUCUCCUAAAUUAAUGUCCUUGUGAAGAAGCAGGGAUACGAUCGUGGGACGAGAAGACCCUAUUGAGCUUAAAUGGUUUAAACAACUACAAGAUUUUUAUAUCAAACUAAUUUUGUUAAAAGAAAUAAUUUAAAAUUUUAUUUUUUAUAAAAUUAGUAGUUUGUUUAAAACUGUUUUGGUUGGGGCAACCGCGGAGAACAAAUAUCCUCCGCUUAAAUAAAUAAAAAGUACUGUUUUAGUUCGGAUACUUUCUGUUUAAAGUGAUCCACCUAAAGAAAGGUGAUCAAAGGAAAAAGUUACCAUAGGGAUAACAGCGUAAUUUUUUUGGAGAGUUCAUAUUGAUAAAAAAGUUUGCGACCUCGAUGUUGGAUCGAGACUUCCAGGGGGUGCAGCAGCUCCC